UGCGCGAUAGAGUAGUGGUUAACUCGCCGGUCUCAUAAGCCGGAGCCCUUAACGGGCGCAUUGGUUCGAAUCCAAUUCGCGCUA
rnacentral:tRNA from 1 species